rnacentral:rRNA from 1 species
UGAGCUGGGGGUGGCCGCAGAGACCAGCGAGAAGCGACUGUUUACUAAAAACACAGGUCCGUGCGAAGCCGUAAGGCGAUGUAUACGGACUGACGCCUGCCCGGUGCUGGAACGUUAAGGGGACCGGUUAGCUGCUCUUCGGGGUGGCGAAGCUGAGAACUUAAGCGCCAGUAAACGGCGGUGGUAACUAUAACCAUCCUAAGGUAGCGAAAUUCCUUGUCGGGUAAGUUCCGACCUGCACGAAUGGCGUAACGACUUCUCGACUGUCUCAACCAUAGGCCCGGUGAAAUUGCACUACGAGUAAAGAUGCUCGUUUCGCGCAGCAGGACGGAAAGACCCCGGGACCUUUACUAUAGUUUGAUAUUGGUGUUCGGUUCGGCUUGUGUAGGAUAGGUGGGAGACUGUGAAGCGGCCACGCCAGUGGUUGUGGAGUCGUCGUUGAAAUACCACUCUGGUCGUGCUGGAUGUCUAACCUGGGUCCGUGAUCCGGAUCAGGGACAGUGUCUGAUGGGUAGUUUAACUGGGGCGGUUGCCUCCUAAAGAGUAACGGAGGCGCCCAAAGGUUCCCUCAGCCUGGUUGGCAAUCAGGUGUUGAGUGUAAGUGCACAAGGGAGCUUGACUGUGAGACCGACGGGUCGAGCAGGGACGAAAGUCGGGACUAGUGAUCCGGCAGUGGCUUGUGGAAGCGCUGUCGCUCAACGGAUAAAAGGUACCCCGGGGAUAACAGGCUGAUCUUCCCCAAGAGUCCAUAUCGACGGGAUGGUUUGGCACCUCGAUGUCGGCUCGUCGCAUCCUGGGGCUGGAGUCGGUCCCAAGGGUUGGGCUGUUCGCCCAUUAAAGCGGUACGCGAGCUGGGUUUAGAACGUCGUGAGACAGUUCGGUCCCUAUCCGCUGUGCGCGUAGGAAUAUUGAGAAGGGCUGUCCCUAGUACGAGAGGACCGGGACGGACGAACCUCUGGUGUGCCAGUUGUUCUGCCAAGGGCAUGGCUGGUUGGCUACGUUCGGAAAGGAUAACCGCUGAAAGCAUCUAAGCGGGAAGCCUGCUUCGAGAUGAGUAUUCCCACCAACUAGAUUGGUUAAGGCUCCCAGUAGACGACUGGGUUGAUAGGCCAGAUGUGGAAGCCCGGUAACGGGUGGAGCUGACUGGUACUAAUAGGCCGAGGGCUUGUCCUC